UACGUAGGGGGCGAGCGUUGUCCGGAUUUAUUGGGCGUAAAGAGCGUGUAGGCGGCCAUACAGGUCCGUUGUGAAAACUCGAGGCUCAACCUCGAGACGCCGGUGGAAACCAUCAGACUAGAGUCCGGAAGAGGAGAGUGGAAUUCCUGGUGUAGCGGUGAAAUGCGCAGAUAUCAGGAAGAACACCCGUGGCUAAGGCGGCUCUCUAGUACGGUACUGACGCUGAGACGCGAAAGCGUGGGGAGCGAACAGG
rnacentral:rRNA from 1 species